AGUGUGGGGUGUCUGGCCGCUGUGCUUGUAGCACGUAGUGCUUAUAGCACGCCGUGCUUGUAGCAUGUAAUGCUUGGUACAGAGGAACUUCCGGAUAAUUAUGGGCUCUGACUGGCUAAAAACCAGCAUUGUGUAGGGUGCCUACAGAAACUAAACCGCCGGGAAUUCCCGGUAAGGGUGAAAAGGUGAGGUAAGAGCUCACCGGCUUGGCCAUGAGGUCAAGUGCUCGGGCUCCUAUCAGAGUACAAUUUUAAGCAGCAGUAGGUAGCCUAUACCUUUAACUGCAGGUAGAAAGCAAAAUCCCCCACCGUGAGGUAGGGGAUAAGAUAGAUGGCCAGAAUAAACAGAAUCCGGGGUACUACCCCGCACUAAGC
rnacentral:RNase_P_RNA from 1 species